CGGCGGGGGGCUUCUUCCUCACGAAGGGCUUUCGGUGCAGCAACGGCAUCGCCCCGCUCCGCGCGCUCCUUCCUGCCCCGACCCGCUUCAAAUUGGAGGGAAAAUGAGAGUGUAGUGAGGCAGAGUGGCCUCCCUCCAGACUAGAGCGCGAGGGACCACUACACUCCCCUUGGUGGGUGGAGCCGAACCCGCCCCGCCCUCCUCACCAGAAGUACUGGGGCAGGGCAGGAAGUAUAAAGGGAGGGCCCUGCAACUCAGUUGUAUGGGAGCCAGCAGAGGAAAUGGAUGCCUCUGCCUUGCUGUGGCGUCCAGGAGCUGAAUCUACGUUCUGCUGCACCCUAACCCUGGAGGAGACAGACCCAGAUGAGGAGUUGCUGGGACUACCAUCGGCUGUCUACCCAGAGGAGCCUGAGGACUGGGGGAUAACAAGAUCUUUUGUGAGGACGCUUUCCACUGAAAUUAAUGUGCUCACUAAGAUGGCAAGGGUGAGAUCAUCCACAUAUUCAAAUCUCCAUAACUGGGUUGAUGGAAUAUCACUGAUACAAAUAUUGGAGAGUGAUGGUGACAGAUCCCUGUUGGAACCUGUUGUUCAGUAGAUGAGGUCUGCUGGUCUGUUCCAAUACAUGUGAACAAAACGUAUGGUUGGUCAGCAUAAGUGUCAGUGGGUGUGAUGUUAUUCUGCAACGUGCUAUUUUUGACACUUUCAGAAGCAACUGUCCUGCAAAACCAUGUCAUAUGCCAAGGACAGGUCCACAAAGACUGCUGCUGUUUUAAGUCGACAUUGAUAGAUGGCUUCAAUGUAUGUUGUCGGUGCAGUUACCUGACCACAGGUGCUUCAUCCAGGUUUAAACUCAGAUUAUUUUUUAGGAAUAUAGUCCUCGAAGAUGGGUGUAAGUCUCAAGUAGCAUCCUUUCCAAGAGCUUGUACAUUACAUAUAGUAGUGAUAUUAGCCAGUAGUUUUUUGGAUCGUUGGCUAUGUUCCCCUGUUUCAGGACAGCAGUGACCUUUACCUGUUGUCAUACUUUGGGCAUUUGGCCAAGGGCAUGCUCGUUGGUGAAGAAGCGCAUCAGCCAGUUGCAGCCAUGCUGACCUAGGUUUUUCAGAAAUUCUGCAGAGAAAAAAGGGCAACCUUCACACAAUCUUCAUUAAGUUCCUUGGCAUGACCAAUGCCGUCCACGUGGCGAACAAAUGCAGAUCAAUGGACUCGCAGUCUAAAAAACAACUCUAUCAACUACUAGUGUGAAAAAAUACUAUUCAGUAGGACAUCGGGUUGCAGAAUUGCCCCUUCAUUUUUUCUCAGGCAAACUCCCACUGAAGUUAAUGGGAGUUUGCCUGAGUAAAAACUGAGUAGGAACUCAAGUAUUUGGCCCAAUGGGAAUUUUGCCCGAGUAGGGGCUGCCAGAUUUGAUCAACACUGGGGCUGACAGUGUUUGGUAAACUCAUACUUUUGUAAGAGUAGCCAAUUCAGUUCUGAAAUGAAUAAAGCUUCCCGUCAUGCAGAAGAACUACCCUGAUUAAUUGACUUGGUUUUUUGUAUGUUGGUAAAUGGUUGAGCGGGUUGUACAUCUGUGAAGAAAUUAAGGUAAGUAUAAAUCACAGAACUGCUUGGUCCAUAUGUGGGUUUUUGGUUUUUUUACCAGAUAGAGGACGUGUACAGCCUUGAUUUUUAAUUUCUUGCCUUUCCAUUUGUGUAACUGAAAAUUCAGCAGCAACAGGAAUGUUACAAACCUUAAUUUUACUGUUUUACUUGUUCAUAUAUUGUAUGUUUAUUAUACAUAUGCCUGAACUAAUAAAAAUGUUUAACAACUCCCAAACAUCAAUUGAAAUAAAAUAAAUUUGCACAAAAAGUUUUUAUUCAUGUACUGUAGGAUCUUCUGGCAGAAGGACAGUGUGCCUGUCCUAAAAACUGGGUGGGGUUUGGAGAAGCUUGGUCUUGAACAAUGGGCAAAUUCUCAGUGAGUUCCAGAAACAGGCUAAGCUUUUAAUUGAUUUUUGAAACCAAGACUUGGGAAGCUUUUUUUUAAAAGUCUUUACAGCCUUCUUUUUCUUAGAUUUUAAAUUUUACAAAGACAGACAAAAAUGGUAAGUUCUUCCAGGUAUUUGCAAAUAAAUAAUGGCAGAGAAAUUUUACUUCCAUGCAGUUAAUUUAUAUUUUCGCUUUAGGCAUAUGUAACUAUUUCAGGCAUCUAUUAAAUAAAAGUCUGACCUUCUGGCCACCUUGAUAGUGCUACAGGAGAGAUUUUGGGAAUAGGAA